rnacentral:lncRNA from 1 species
GGACUUCCGGUCGGCGCCAUCGGCUAAUGGCGGAUUUCCCUCCGAGCUCCGGAGGGGGUCUGCUUUACAAGUUCGGGUCCUGUCGCUACGGCGAAGCGGGGACCCUCAAAAAUUACAGGCGCGGAAGCCUGUGAACAAGGAGGCUCGGUGGGCACCAUCGCGCCCCCCCGAAAUCGCAAGGGAGCCUUUUUAAAGGCUCCGGAACGGCAGCGGGGGGAGAAGCGGUGCUGAGAGCCGCUACCCAGCUUGUGAAGCGAAGCCGCAUCGCCAUAGCCGGAGAGCGCCGAUUCCUUCCUGAAAAUUGGAUUACAAAGCAAAACUCGUGAGUAAGACUGAGACCUAAUUGGGAUUUACAACUAUCUUUUUGAAAUUUGGCUGAAAACGGGAUUGGUUUAAAGUAAGGAAGUCAGCCUUUCCCGGACUGCAUAAGGAUAAAGCAAAGAAGGAUUAAAAGCUGUAACCAUUGAGAGAUCGCAAAGAGUUAAGAGAACCAGACAUAAACUGUGAACUUCCCCCCUUUUGGUAGGCAGGAGCAAAAGGGGGGAAGUUGUGAUUAGAACCUGCCAGAAAAGGACUUUAAAAACUUUUCACCACUGUGUCAAACACCCCUGAAACGGACUGCCGGGGCAAAGGAACCUGGAGAGAUACAACUGUCAGUGAGCUGUCACUUGGAUUGUUACAUUGCUUUAAACUACUCAGCUCAGGAGAGAUACUAAAUUACAGGUUUGUUGAACUCUGAAAAUAUAAGAACUGUUACAAUUGACUACUGGGAAACCUCAGGGGAAUUUUUGGCUGUAAGACAUUUUGUUUAGUUUUGGAAACUUUCUUCCCCUAGAGGGCACUUUGAGAAUUGUUGCAAAUUGGAUUGUAACUACUAAGGCAGUGGAAAUUUCCCUUGAAAAACAACUAACAGCUGUGAGAGUGACCUUGGCUAGGCAUGAGUGGUGCACCAGAAGAGACAACAACCAGGUCUGGGAGACAAUACAAAGUAAAAUCUUCACAGCGAAGAGUUUCAGUCCCAGGCAUCCCAGUGGCACCAGCUGCAACUGGUCAGACAAGAACAAUAAUGUCAUCAGAUCCUGUAACACAAGCUUUGGUUAAAAUAAAUGAGUCUUUGGAAUCUUUGACAAAGCAGGGGGUGGAAAAUAGUAGAAAAUUGACAGAACUCUCAAUUAAACUUGAUCAGAAUACACAAAGUGUGAAUGAAUUAGGGAAAAGGGUGACAUCUAAUACAGAAUCUAUUAAUAAAAUAUUAGAGGACUCUGCCAAUAUACGUAAAAUUGCAGAAGAAGCCAAAGUCUCUGCUGAUGAAGCUAAAGUCUCGGCGGAUGCUACACAGGAAAAAAUUGCACCAGUUUGCAAAAAGUUAGAAGAUCACACAUUGGCCCUGUCUAUGCUUGAAUUGCAGAGAAGAGACAGAAAUUUAAGACUACGAGCGGUGCCUGAAAGCGAAGGAGAUAACUUGGCGAACUUCCUUUCCAAAGAAUUUGCGGAUUUUUGGCAACAGGAGUUAGAGAAAGAAGAAAUUAAAAUAGUCACUGCCUUUAGACUGGGAAGAGCACAAGGUAGGAAGAAGCCAAGGGAUUGCCUAAUAACAUUAAGAUCAAGAGAGGAGAGAGAUAAAAUAUUGAGCCUGCAUUUUCAAAGAACACUCGAGAUUGAAGAUUCUUUUGUGGAGAUUUUUAAAGAUAUUCCAAAGGAAAUUCUAGACGCAAGAACAAACUAUAAAGAACUGGUCGGAUUGCUGAAGAAGAACGAAGUACCUUUCAGGUGGGAAUUCCCACAAGGCCUAUCUUUUAAAUUUAAAGGUAGGAAAAUAAGGAUAAGAUCAGUAGAAGAUCGAGAUCAAUUUCUAAAUCACUAUAGGGAAGACCUUCUGAAAGGAACAGUCGGAGAGGAAAUAACACCAGAAUCGAAAGACGCAACAGACAUUUUAAACUUGACGUUUGGACUGAAAUCACCAACAGAAGAAGAACAACUACUCGGAGCAACAGGAGGCAAAUAGCUUCAGGAUGGCCUUGCAACUUCUAAGUUGGAAUUGUAACGGACUUAACCUUCCGCGAAAGAGGAAAAAUAUAUUUCAUUUAUUGAAAAAAGAGCAGUUGGACUUAAUUUGUUUACAGGAAACUCAUAUAACAAGAUUGCAUAGGAAACUACUCGUCAAUAAGAGAUUAGGCCAAGAAUUUAUUUCAUCGGAUAAAGUUAAGAAAAGAGGAGUGGUAAUCUAUGCAAAAGAAAAACUUUCCCCAAAGUUUAUAUUUAAAGAUGAACAAGGAAGGUAUUUGGCAAUUGAAGUGCAAAUUCAAGGUGAAAAAUUUUUGAUACUAGGGAUAUAUGCACCUAAUGAAGGGAAGUCAGAAUUUUUUAAGAAGUUGCAUGAGACAUUGUUGGACUAUUUGGAUUACAAAUUAAUCAUGAUGGGAGACAUGAAUGGAGUGGUAUCUACAAAUAUGGACAAAGCACAAAGACAGGUAAUCACCAGAGAUGGGAGACUACCAAAGACUUUCUUUGAAAUAACUGAAAAUAUGGACUUGAUUGAUAUUUGGAGAACAAGGAAUCCUCUCGAGAGAGAGGGAACCUUUUCUCUGAAGCAAUGAUGACCUGGACCAGAAUCGAUCAAAUUUGGAUUACUAGUGGGUUGGCUCCAAAGAUUAAAAAAGUGGAAAUCUGCCCAAAGACUUGCUCCGACCAUAACGCCGUGAAGAUGGAAAUGAAACUUACAACAACUGGUCAAUUCAGAUGGAGGAUGAAUGACACCCUGUUUCGAGAUGAGGAGAUCCACAGAAAGGCCCAAAAAAACUUUAAAGGACUAUUUUGAAAUAAAUCUAAAAACUGAUGUAGAAAAAAGAGUGAUCUGGGACGCAAGUAAAGCAGUGAUGCGAGGAUUUCUAAUUCAACAAAAUUCAGUAAAAAAGAGAAAGCAAAAUGAGAAGAAGGAUAAGAUCUUGG